AACGAACGCUGGCGGCAUGCCUAACACAUGCAAGUCGAACGGGACCUCCGUGUCUAGUGGCGCACGGCUGCGUACCGCGUGGUAACCUGCCCUUAGGUUCGGAAUACCUCCCCUUAAGGGGUCCUAAUACCGGAUAAUGUCUUCUGACCAAAGAUUUAUCGCCUGUGGAUGGGCCUGCGUUGGAUUAGCGAGUUGGUAGUGUAAAAGCCUACAAAGGCGACGAUCCUUAGCUGGUCUGAGAGCAUGAUCAGCCACACUGGGACAGAGACACGGCGCAGACGCGUAGCAGAGGUAGCAGUGGGGACUAAGGGACAAGGAGCGAAAGGCUGAUACAGCAAGGGCGGGAGAGUGAUGAAGGGGUUAGGAACGUAAAGCUCUUUUACCCGGGAGGAUAAGGACAUUACCGGGAGAAUAGGCCCGGCCUAACUCGGU
rnacentral:rRNA from 1 species